rnacentral:rRNA from 1 species
ACGGAGGGUGCAAGCGUUAUUCGGAAUUACUGGGCGUAAAGCGCGUGUAGGCGGUCCUGCAAGUCUGAUGUGAAAGCCCCGGGCUUAACCCGGGAAGUGCAUUGGAAACUGUGGGACUUGAGUACUGGAGAGGGUGGUGGAAUUCCCGGUGUAGCGGUGAAAUGCGUAGAGAUCGGGAGGAAUACCAGUGGCGAAGGCGGCCAUCUGGACGGUAACUGACGCUGAGGUGCGAAAGCGUGGGGAGCAAACAG